CAGUAGCCGCGGUAAAACGUAGGUCCCGAGCGUUGUCCGGAUUUAUUGGGCGUAAAGGGCUCGCAGGCGGUUUCUUAAGUCUGAUGUGAAAGCCCCCGGCUCAACCGGGGAGGGUCAUUGGAAACUGGGAAACUUGAGUGCAGAAGAGGAGAGUGGAAUUCCACGUGUAGCGGUGAAAUGCGUAGAGAUGUGGAGGAACACCAGUGGCGAAGGCGACUCUCUGGUCUGUAACUGACGCUGAGGAGCGAAAGCGUGGGGAGCGAACAGGAUUAGAUACCCCCGUAGUCCCUGUCUCUUAUAA
rnacentral:rRNA from 1 species